AUUGAACGCUGGCGGCAGGCCUAACACAUGCAAGUCGAGCGGAGCGGCGGACGGGUGAGUAAUGCCUAGGACUCUGCCUGGUAGUGGGGGAUAACGUCCGGAAACGGGCGCUAAUACCGCAUAAUAUCAGAUGCGCCUAGGUCGGAUUAGCUAGUUGGUGGGGUAAAGGCCUACCAAGGCGACGAUCCGUAACUGGUCUGAGAGGAUUAUCAGUCACACUGGAACUGGGACACGGUCCAGACUCCUAAGGGAGGCAGCAGUGGGGAAUAUUGCAAAAUGGGCGCAAGCCUGAUGCAGCCAUGCCGCGUGUAUGAAGAAGGGCUUCGGGUUGUAAAGGAAUUUCAGUGGGGAGGCGUUACCCGCAGAAGAAGCACCGGCUAACUCCGUGCCAGCAGCCGCGGUAAUUC
rnacentral:rRNA from 1 species